GACGAACGCUGGCGGCGUGCUUAACACAUGCAAGUCGAACGGAAAGGCCUGCUUUCCCUUGUGGAUUGCGGGUACUCGAGUGGCGAACGGGUGAGUAACACGUGAGUGAUCUGCCCCCGACUUGGGUAUAAGCCUGGGAAACUGGGUCUAAUUCCCGAUAGGACUGCAGGGUGGUGCCUGUGGUGGAAAACGAUUUUCUAGUGGUUGGGGAUGAGCUCGCGGCCUAUCAGCUUGUUGGUGGGGUAAUGGCCUACCAAGGCGGCGACGGGUAGCCGGCCUGAGAGGGUGGACGGCCACAUUGGGACUGAGAUACGGCCCAGACUCCUACGGGAGGCAGCAGUGGGGGAUAUUGCACAAUGGGCGGAAGCCUGAUGCAGCGACGCCGCGUGGGGGAUGACGGCCUUCGGGUUGUAAACUCCUUUCGACCGCGAGGAAGCCACCUGGUUGGAAGGGUGGUGACGGUAGUGGUAGAAGAAGCACCGGCUAACUACGUG
rnacentral:rRNA from 1 species